rnacentral:rRNA from 1 species
CAAUAGCGUAUAUUAAAGUUGUUGCAGUUAAAAAGCUCGUAGUUGGAUUUGUGGUUCGUCCCGCCGGCUGGGUCAUUGACUUUUGCUGUGCUGGUCGUCCAUCCUUGGGUGGAAUCUGUGUGGCAUUAGGUUGUCGCGCAGGGGAUGCCCAUCGUUUACUGUGAAAAAAUUAGAGUGUUCAAAGCAGGCUUAUGCCGUUGAAUAUAUUAGCAUGGAAUAAUGAUAUAGGACCUUGGUACUAUUUUGUUGGUUUGCGCAUCGGGGUAAUGAUUAAUAGGGACAGUUGGGGGUAUUCGUAUUCCAUUGUAAGAGGUGAAAUUCUUGGAUUUUUGGAAGACGAACUACUGCGAAAGCAUUUACCAAGGAUGUUUNCAUUAA